GUCUUUUUAGUAUAAAAAUAUAAAUGACUUCCAAUUAUUUGAUCUUAGCUAGGAAAAGACA
rnacentral:tRNA from 1 species